UUUAACUGAAGAGUUUGAUCAUGGCUCAGAUUGAACGCUGGCGGCAGGCUUAACACAUGCAAGUCGAGCGGGGGAAGGUAGCUUGCUACCGGACCUAGCGGCGGACGGGUGAGUAAUGCUUAGGAAUCUGCCUAUUAGUGGGGGACAACAUCUCGAAAGGGAUGCUAAUACCGCAUACGUCCUACG
rnacentral:rRNA from 1 species